AGUCGUAACAAGGUUUCCGUAGGUGAACCUGCGGAAGGAUCAUUAUUGAAAUAAACCUGAUGGGUUGUUGCUGGUUCUCUUGGGAGCAUGUGCACGCCUUGUCAUCUUUAUAUCUCCACCUGUGCACCCUUUGUAGACCUUCCCAGGUCUAUGUUGCUUCAUUUACCCCAAUGUAUGUUAAUAGAAUGUUGUGACUAUAAAAAUCUAUACAACUUUCAGCAACGGAUCUCUUGGCUCUCGCAUCGAUGAAGAACGCAGCGAAAUGCGAUAAGUAAUGUGAAUUGCAGAAUUCAGUGAAUCAUCGAAUCUUUGAACGCACCUUGCGCUCCUUGGUAUUCCGAGGAGCAUGCCUGUUUGAGUGUCAUUAAUAUAUAUCAACCUCUCUUUUUUGAGUGGCUUGGAUGUGGGGGGGUUUUGCUGGCCUGUUCAGCUCCUCUGAAAUACAUUAGCAGAACAAACCUGUUCAUUGGUGUGAUAACUAUCUACGCUAUUGAAUGUGAGG
rnacentral:rRNA from 1 species